CUGCCGGUCGCAGAAUCGCUGUCGCAGCUCACAUACAGGAGGCCCGCCCUAUUGUAGGGCGUUGUGCCCUCCCCCCUCCGCUGUGGGGAAAGUCCCCGGAGACAAGGCAGAGCGUGCACCCACCGCGCACGCGGAAAGCGACUGCCCUUAGGCACGGUGGUCGCGGUGGGGGCGGCUGGCGAUCAGUGCGUCCUCGAUGAUGCUCCCGCCAGCCACUCUGCCCGCCCCCCUGACGCGCCUAUGCUCGGCGACGGUGCGCGCGAGCGAAGAUACGAGCACGCGCGUGCUCGGGCGUGGGCGCGGAGGGGGAGGCAUCUGUUGCUCAUAGACAUAGUUAUGCGAUUGUUGGCGCGCGUUCGUCGACCUAGUGUUCGGCGCUCGCGCGCCUUCAACUCAAUGGGGCUCACUCGCGACCGGCA
rnacentral:RNase_MRP_RNA from 2 species